rnacentral:rRNA from 1 species
UACGUAGGGUGCGAGCGUUAAUCGGAAUUACUGGGCGUAAAGCGCGCGCAGGCGGUCCUUUAAGUCUGAUGUGAAAGCCCACGGCUCAACCGUGGAGGGUCAUUGGAAACUGGGGGACUUGAGUACAGAAGAGAAGAGUGGAAUUCCACGUGUAGCGGUGAAAUGCGUAGAGAUGUGGAGGAACACCAGUGGCGAAGGCGACUCUUUGGUCUGUAACUGACGCUGAGGCGCGAAAGCGUGGGGAGCAAACAGG